GCUCCACCGCGCGACAGCCGGCUUGGGCUCCGAGCACCGCCAAAGCGAGUGAGGUGUGGGAGCAGGGGGAUGGGGAGCCCGUCAGGAAGUCUCAGGGGCCGAUUAUCUUGGGAAGUGACUUUCAGAGGAAUCCACAUGUCGUCGAAAUGGGCGCUAUGACCCCGUCGGGUUAAAGUCUUUCUGAGCGACCCAAACAGAAGACUUCGGUUUUCAGAAUUCCUCCCGGGAAUGCUGACUCCUUGCUUGGUGCCCUGAUGCUUCUCUGAGAUGAACUGAUGAAUUGGAACCAUGGUGCAAAAGAAGAAGUUCUGUCCUCGGUUACUUGACUAUCUAGUGAUCGUAGGGGCCAGGCACCCGAGCAGUGACAGCGUGGCCCAGACUCCUGAACUGCUACGACGAUACCCCUUAGAGGAUCACGCUGAGUUUCCCCUGCCCCCAGACGUCGUGUUCUUCUGUCAGCCCGAGGGCUGCCUGAGCGUGCGGCAGCGGCGCAUGAGCCUCCGGGAUGAUACCUCUUUUGUCUUCACCCUCACUGACAAGGACACUGGAGUCACGCGAUACGGCAUCUGUGUUAACUUCUACCGCUCCUUCCAGAAGCGAAUCCCUAAGGAGAAGGGGGAAGGGGGGGCAGGGUCCCAUGGGAAGGAAGGAACCCGCGCCACCUGUGCCUCAGAAGAGGGUGGCACUGAGAGCUCAGAGAGUGGCUCAUCCCGGCAGCCUCCCAGUGCCGACUCUACCCCUGAUGUGAACCAGUCUCCUCGGGGCAAACGCCGGGCCAAGGCGGGGAGCCGCUCCCGCAACAGUACUCUCACGUCCCUGUGCGUGCUCAGUCACUACCCUUUUUUCUCCACCUUCCGAGAGUGUCUGUAUACCCUCAAGCGCCUGGUGGACUGCUGUAGUGAGCGCCUGCUGGGCAAGAAGCUGGGCAUCCCUCGAGGUGUACAAAGGGACACCAUGUGGCGGAUCUUUACUGGAUCGCUGCUGGUGGAGGAGAAGUCAAGUGCCCUUCUGCAUGACCUUCGGGAGAUUGAGGCCUGGAUCUAUCGAUUGCUGCGCUCCCCAGUACCCGUCUCUGGGCAGAAGCGAGUAGACAUCGAGGUCCUACCCCAAGAGCUCCAGCCAGCUCUGACCUUUGCUCUUCCAGACCCAUCUCGAUUCACCCUAGUGGAUUUCCCACUGCACCUUCCCUUGGAACUUCUAGGUGUGGACGCCUGUCUCCAGGUGCUAACCUGCAUUCUGUUAGAGCAUAAGGUGGUGCUACAGUCUCGAGACUACAAUGCACUCUCCAUGUCUGUGAUGGCAUUCGUGGCAAUGAUCUAUCCACUGGAGUAUAUGUUUCCUGUCAUCCCGCUGCUUCCCACCUGCAUGGCAUCAGCAGAGCAGCUGCUGUUGGCUCCAACUCCGUACAUCAUUGGGGUUCCUGCCAGCUUCUUCCUCUACAAACUGGACUUCAAAAUGCCUGAUGAUGUAUGGCUAGUGGAUCUGGACAGCAACAGGGUGAUUGCCCCCACCAAUGCAGAAGUGCUGCCUAUUCUGCCAGAACCAGAGUCACUAGAGCUGAAAAAGCAUUUAAAGCAGGCCUUGGCCAGCAUGAGCCUCAACACCCAGCCCAUCCUCAAUCUGGAGAAAUUUCAUGAGGGCCAGGAGAUACCCCUUCUCUUGGGAAGGCCUUCUAAUGACCUGCAGUCCACACCGUCCACUGAAUUCAACCCGCUUAUCUAUGGCAACGAUGUGGAUUCUGUGGAUGUUGCAACCAGGGUCGCCAUGGUACGGUUCUUCAACUCUGCCAACGUGCUGCAGGGAUUUCAGAUGCACACACGUACCCUGCGCCUCUUCCCUCGGCCUGUGGUAGCUUUUCAAGCUGGCUCCUUUCUAGCCUCACGUCCCCGCCAGACUCCUUUUGCCGAGAAAUUGGCCAGGACUCAAGCUGUGGAGUACUUUGGGGAAUGGAUCCUUAACCCCACCAACUAUGCCUUUCAGCGAAUUCACAACAAUAUGUUUGAUCCAGCCCUGAUUGGUGACAAGCCGAAGUGGUAUGCUCAUCAGCUGCAGCCUAUCCACUAUCGCGUCUAUGACAGCAAUUCCCAGCUGGCUGAGGCCCUGAGUGUACCACCAGAGCGGGACUCUGACUCCGAACCUACUGAUGAUAGUGGCAGUGAUAGUAUGGAUUAUGACGAUUCAAGCUCUUCUUACUCCUCCCUUGGUGACUUUGUCAGUGAAAUGAUGAAAUGUGACAUUAAUGGUGAUACUCCCAAUGUGGACCCUCUGACGCAUGCAGCACUGGGGGAUGCCAGCGAGGUGGAGAUUGACGAGCUGCAGAAUCAGAAGGAAGCAGAAGAGCCUGGCCUAGACAGUGAGAACUCUCAGGAAAACCCCCCACUGCGCUCCAGCUCCAGCACCACUGCCAGCAGCAGCCCCAGCACCAUCAUCCACGGAGCCAACUCUGAACCCGCUGACUCUACGGAGAUGGAUGAUAAGGCAGCAGUAGGCGUCUCCAAGCCCCUCCCUUCCGUGCCUCCCAGCAUUGGCAAGUCGAACGUGGACAGACGUCAGGCAGAAAUUGGAGAGGGGUCAGUGCGCCGACGAAUCUAUGACAAUCCAUACUUCGAGCCCCAAUAUGGCUUUCCCCCUGAGGAAGAUGAGGAUGAGCAGGGGGAAAGUUACACUCCCCGAUUCAGCCAACAUGUCAGUGGCAAUCGGGCUCAAAAGCUGCUGCGGCCCAACAGCUUGAGACUGGCAAGUGACUCAGAUGCAGAGUCAGACUCUCGGGCAAGCUCUCCCAACUCCACCGUCUCCAACACCAGCACCGAGGGCUUCGGGGGCAUCAUGUCUUUUGCCAGCAGCCUCUAUCGGAACCACAGUACCAGCUUCAGUCUUUCAAACCUCACACUGCCCACCAAAGGUGUCCGAGAGAAGGCCACACCCUUCCCCAGUCUGAAAGUAUUUGGGCUAAAUACUCUAAUGGAGAUUGUUACUGAAGCCGGCCCCGGGAGUGGUGAAGGAAACAGGAGGGCGUUAGUGGAUCAGAAGUCAUCUGUCAUUAAACACAGCCCAACAGUGAAAAGAGAACCUCCAUCACCCCAGGGUCGAUCCAGCAAUUCUAGUGAGAACCAGCAGUUCCUGAAGGAGGUGGUACACAACGUGCUGGACGGCCAGGGAGUCGGCUGGCUCAACAUGAAAAAGGUGCGCCGGCUCCUGGAGAGCGAGCAACUGCGAGUCUUUGUCCUGAGCAAGCUGAACCGUACGGUGCAGUCAGAGGACGAUGCCCGGCAGGACAUUAUCCCGGAUGUGGAGGUCAGUCGGAAGGUGUACAAGGGAAUGUUAGACCUCCUCAAGUGUACAAUCCUCAGCCUGGAGCAGUCCUAUGCCCAUGCGGGUCUGGGUGGCAUGGCCAGCAUCUUUGGGCUUCUGGAGAUCGCCCAGACCCACUACUAUAGUAAAGAACCAGACAAGCGGAAGAGAAGUCCAACAGAAAGUGUAAAUACCCCAGUUGGCAAGGAUCCUGGCCUAGCUGGGCGGGGGGACCCAAAGGCUAUGGCACAGCUGAGAGUUCCCCAGGUGGGACCUCGGGCACCAAGUGCCACAGGAAAGGGUCCUAAGGAACUGGACACCAGAAGUUUAAAGGAAGAAAAUUUUAUAGCGUCUAUUGAAUUGUGGAACAAGCACCAGGAAGUGAAAAAGCAAAAAGCUUUGGAAAAACAGAGGCCUGAAGUAAUCAAACCUGUCUUUGACCUUGGUGAGACAGAGGAGAAAAAGUCCCAGAUCAGCGCAGACAGUGGUGUGAGCCUGACGUCUAGUUCCCAGAGGACUGAUCAAGACUCUGUCAUCAGCGUGAGUCCAGCUGUUAUGAUCCGCAGCUCAAGUCAGGAUUCUGAAGUUAGCACCGUGGUGAGUAAUAGCUCUGGAGAGACUCUUGGAGCUGACAGUGACUUGAGCAGCAAUGCAGGUGACGGACCAGGUGGCGAGGGCAGUGUUCACCUGGCAAGCUCUCGGGGCACUUUGUCUGAUAGUGAAAUUGAGACCAACUCUGCUACAAGCACCAUCUUUGGUAAAGCCCAUAGCUUGAAGCCAAGCGUAAAGGAGAAGCUGGCAGGCAGCCCCAUUCGCACUUCUGAAGAUGUGAGCCAGCGAGUCUAUCUCUAUGAGGGACUCCUAGGAAGGGACAAAGGAUCCAUGUGGGACCAGUUAGAGGAUGCAGCUAUGGAGACCUUUUCUAUAAGCAAAGAGCGUUCUACUUUAUGGGACCAAAUGCAAUUCUGGGAAGAUGCCUUCUUAGAUGCUGUGAUGUUGGAGAGAGAAGGCAUGGGUAUGGACCAGGGUCCCCAGGAAAUGAUCGACAGGUACCUGUCCCUGGGAGAACAUGACCGGAAGCGCCUGGAAGAUGAUGAAGAUCGCUUGCUGGCCACCCUUUUGCACAACCUCAUCUCCUACAUGCUGCUGAUGAAGGUAAAUAAGAAUGACAUCCGCAAGAAGGUGAGGCGCCUAAUGGGAAAGUCGCACAUUGGGCUUGUGUACAGCCAGCAAAUCAAUGAGGUGCUUGAUCAGCUGGCGAACCUGAAUGGACGCGAUCUCUCUAUCUGGUCCAGUGGCAGCCGGCAUAUGAAGAAGCAGACAUUUGUGGUACAUGCAGGGACAGAUACAAAUGGAGAUAUCUUUUUCAUGGAGGUGUGCGAUGACUGUGUGGUGUUGCGUAGUAACAUCGGAACAGUAUAUGAGCGCUGGUGGUACGAGAAGCUCAUCAACAUGACCUACUGUCCCAAGACCAAGGUGUUGUGCUUGUGGCGUAGAAAUGGCUCUGAGACCCAGCUCAACAAGUUCUAUACUAAAAAGUGUCGGGAGCUGUACUACUGUGUGAAGGACAGCAUGGAGCGCGCUGCCGCCCGACAGCAAAGCAUCAAACCCGGACCUGAAUUGGGUGGCGAGUUCCCUGUGCAGGACAUGAAGACUGGUGAGGGUGGCCUGCUGCAGGUCACCCUGGAAGGGAUCAACCUCAAGUUUAUGCACAAUCAGUGUUACCUUUUUCUCUCAGUGGACAUUCCUUAAGCUAAUUCCUUUCUGAGGCCAGCGCAUCAUCCCAGGAGCGGAAGGUUUUCAUAGAGCUGAAUCACAUUAAAAAGUGCAAUACAGUUCGAGGCGUCUUUGUCCUGGAGGAAUUUGUUCCUGAAAUUAAAGAAGUGGUGAGCCACAAGUACAAGACACCAAUGGCCCACGAAAUCUGCUACUCUGUAUUGUGUCUCUUCUCGUACGUGGCUGCAGUUCGUAGCAGUGAGGAAGAUCUCAGAACCCCACCCCGGCCUGUCUCUAGCUGAUGGAGAGGGGCUACGAAGCCGCCCCAGCCCAGGGCACACCCCUGGCCCCUUUCUGUUCCCAAGUGCACGAUGCUGCUGUGACUGAGGAGUGGACGAUGCUCGUGUGUCCUCUGCAAGCCCCUGCUGUGGCUUAGUUGGUUACUGGUUAUGUGUCCCUCUGAGUGUGUCUUUGAGCGUGUCCACCUUCCCCUCUCCACUCCCAGAAGACCAAACUGCCUUCCCCUCAGGGCUCAAGAGCGUGUGUCUGUGGGGCUGGUGUGAACCCACUGUUGUGUGUCCUUGAGACAUUUGUGUUGUGGUUCCUUGUCCUUGUCCCUGGCGUUGUAACUGUCCACUGCAGGAGUCUGGCUCACCCUUCUCUUUGACCCGGCACGACUGGGCGCCUGGAGCAGUUUCACUCUGUGAGGAAUGAGGGAACCCUGGGCUCGCCCUCUCAGAGGAAGGGCACAGAGAGGAAGGGAAGAACUGGGGGGCAGCUGGAGCGAGUGGCAGCCUCCCUGCUUCCUUCUGCAUUCCCAAGCUGGCAGCUACUGCGCGGGGCCCGCAAGUGUGGGCUGCUGCCUGCUACAGCCUCCGUCACUGCAGUGGAGCAGCAAAUUCCCUGUGGCCUGCCACGCCUUCGGCAUCAGAGGACGGAGUGGGCGAGGCUCGUGGAGUCCCGGGGACCACUGGCUGCUCUGCCUGAGCAUCAGGGAGUGGGCAGGAAAGGCCAAGCUGGGUUUGCACAUCUGUGUCUGCAGGCUGUGUCUCCAGGCAUGGGGUGCCAGGAGGGAGAGGCAGCCUGGGCAUGGGCAAGAGAUGACUGUAAAUAUUUCAGCCCCACAUUAUUUAUAGAAAAUGUACAGCUGUGUGAAUGUGAAAUAAAUGUUCUUGACUCCC